rnacentral:lncRNA from 1 species
AUCCAGAAAGUACCUCCAAGCAGAUUAGCUCGCAUUGUUUGUUUUCCAUCUCUCAGACCUGUCUUGCCUCCUGUCCAAUAUCUAAAAACAGAAGAAACUGGCUUUGUGGUGGGUUUAGCCAUUCAGACGACAUGAUUGGGAAGUUCUCCCAUUAUAUUUGAAUAUCAUUCUGGACAAUGAGCUUCAUUAAAGAGCUUCAGGGUAUAAGAAAACCAAUCUGACAAAGAAAGUUUUCAAAGCGGUAUGUGAAUUGAUAAUACAAUGAAGGAAUAUACUUCAUCACAGAAAUGCAAUUGGACAUUUAUUGUGUUUGUUUGCUCUGCACCUGAGCCUCUCCUGCUCUGCUGCCUAUCAUGAUAACAUCCCCUUCAGGUCUCCAGUGCACUCUGUUUGCUGGAUAGAUGUGGCCAGUAGAAGGCAUGGGUGGAAGUUAAGAGGAGAGGGGAGAGAAGAAACCAACGUCCUCUGUUACCUGUCUCCACUCAUUGUGGCCUCUUAGGACAGGGUCACAGUCACUCAUGCCAUGGCCCCAGUUCUCAUUGUAUGGCCCUACUUUCAUGUUCUAGUAACUUUUGCUGUUCCUCCCUCCAGCUCUUAGGAUGAUGGAAGCUCCCUGCUGUUGCUAAUCUCUGGGUUCCCCUUUAAGUACUAGCACGUGAAACCUAUGUUUGUAUUAAGUUUCCUCAUAAUGAAAUAUUUAGAUAUUUAAUUUAAUAUUUUAAUUUAAUUUAAAUUUAUUUAAUUAAAAUAUUUAGAAUAGUUUCUGCCUUCUUUCUUGAACCAGGUGUGAUACAUUUUUCAGUAUUUACACUGUGAAGGAAUACGUAAUGUUUAAUUUGACUUCAGGAAAUGAGAUGUUCAUUUUGUCAGCAUUUGCACUAGCAUUUCUAUAACAAUGCUAUCCAAAUAAAGUCAUUUUCGAAUCAUUUAAAUCAUAUAUGAAUAUCUUUUGAUCCUUUUAUUCCUGCAUAACACAAUAUAAUAUCCUCCCUGAAUAUCAUGUUUCAUUUGUGUGAUAUAUAUAUUAUAUAAGUAUAUAUAUAAUAUAGAAAUCAAAAAUAUGUAUACUUUUUAACUUGAAUCAUGAUUUUUUUUGCAAAUACUACUUCAUAAUAUUGACUCGUCUUCUUUAUGUUAACUAGCUUAGGAAUCAUGCUCUGGAUCCAUUGUGUGGCUCAUGAUAAGGAGAGGCUUUGCAAUUAUAAUGUUGCCAAAUUUACUAGCUGGGACAGCAUGGAAGAAAUAAAAUAUUCUGAACAUGAUUACUCUCCAAAGAAUUCGGACAGGUAUCCUCUAGGUAUGGAAUAUUUUUCGAGCUCAGCAAGUGUAUCGGUCCUGAGAAUUAAACCAAAAACUCAGAGAAACUGCUUCACCUAGGAUGAAAUAUUUUAUUAUUGUGAUUUGGUGUUAAAAUAGCUAACUGCAGUUUACAGAGCUUUUAUACUGAUGCACAGGCACUGGAAGGGGAAGGUAUUCCAAACUGAAGUCAGGAAUCUUAGCCACCUAUAUCCAUGGGAGCCCUUGGGAGCUUGGCCACUGACAGAUCCAUCUAAAGAGAAGUUGUGAACGCUAUCGCUUUGGGAAACAUGCUUAAGGCCCUUUGGUGUUUCUCUAUUUGCCCCCAAAAUGGUAUUGCACGUGAAUGCUUCACUUGAGGAAAACAAAUGUCAAGAUCUUCUUAUAAAUGGUUUUUAUACUUCAAAUAAAGAGCACAGCUUUAAUCCAUGUUUAAUUUAUUUAGCUAACACAGUAGCUAAGAUUUUAUGCCCAAUGCAUUUUUUCUUUUUGAUCCUGUAAAGGCAGAUGAUAUGAUUUAUGGAGAACCAGUUGCCUCUUGGGUAGUUUAGAAAGAACUUGAAAAGAAAUGGCUCCCAAAGAAGCUUCUUGAUCUUGUAAAAUUCUGUAUCGUUAACUCAAGUUUGUAUAGCACCUCAUUAAAUAUAAAUAUAAACAGAAGUUUAGUGAUAUAUUUGAAAUAUUGAAUUUCUAUUAGGGAAAAAAUGCUAUCAGAUAACAAUAUCAGCUCAGGAUUAUAUGAAUUUCACCUUAUUAAUAUUUUUGUUUUAUUUUCUUUUAUAUUUUACUUAUAUGUGCUCUACGACAAGACAAUAUUGGUCUACUUAAUGAUGCUUUUUCAUACUUCCAUUACUAGAAAUAAGAAUAUAGUAAUAAUGAUAAACAAAAUUGGCCAGUUUUAUACAUUUUUCCUAACAAAUCUCAUUGAAUAUGGGGACCGUUUAUAGCUUUCUUUUACUCUACAUUGGGAAGUCUUUGACUAUCUUAUCUGAAAUGAGGGCUCUUGAAAUUCUAAAUACGUGCAAAUAUAAAAUAUUGUCACCAAACUCUAUAAAAUAAAUUCUAUUUCUAUGCUGAGUUUGCAUUUUCUGAUUCUGGUUAAAUACAUAUAAUAUAAAAAUUACUGUUUAAAUUAUUUUUGUGUCCAGUUCUGUGGCAUUAAGUAUAUUCACAUUGUUGUGCAACCAUCACCACCAUUCAUAUCCAAGACUUUUCUUCUUUUCCAGCUGAAACUCCAUUGCCCAUUAAACGCUAUCUCCUCAUCCUCCUCUUCUCCUGGCUCCUGGGAACCGUCAUUCUAUUUCUGUCUCUAUAAUUUGACUACUCUAAGUAAUUCAUGUAAGUGGAAUAAUACAAUAUGUUUUCUUUUGGUAACUGGCUUAUUUCACCCACUGUAAUGUCUUCAAGAUUCUUCCACAUUGUAGCAUGUGUCACAAUUUCCUUUCUUUUUUUUUCUUUUUAAGAUUGGCACCUGAGCUGACAUCUGUUGCCAAUCUUCUUUUAUUCCCCCCUUCACCUCCUCCCCAAAGCCCUCCAGUACAUAGUUGUAUAUUCUAGUUGUGAGUGCCUCUGGUUGUGCCAUGUGGGACACCACCUCAAUGUGGCCUGAUCAGCGGUGCCAUGUCUGUGCCCAGGAUCCAAACCUGCAAAACUCCAGGCCGUCAAAGCAGAGCAUGUGAACUUAACCACUCAGCCACAAGGGCAGCCCCUCCUUUCUUUUUAAGGUUGAAUAAAAUUCCACCGUAUAUAUAUACUACAUUGUGCUUAUCCAUUCGUCUGUCAAUAGACACUUGGAUUGCUUUCACCCUUUGGCUAGUAUGAAUAAUGCUGCUAUGAUUAUGAGUGUACAAUUAUCUAUUUGAGUCUCUGCUUUCAUUUUCUUUUGAUAUGUGUUUGCAUUUUAAUACAAAGUAAAAUGCACAAUGUUUUAAAAGUAUCUUAAAACAAAAAGAACAAAAGGUUAGUAAAAUAUUAGAAAGUAGGUUAUAGGAAAAAAAGAGGAAGCAUUAAACCAAAAGUCAAUAAUCAGUAUAAGAGAAUUUCAAGAGGAAGAAACAAAGAAUGAGAAUAUCAACAUAGUGGUUAGAGCAAUAUAUAGAUAAUUUUCAAAUGUAGUCAUGUAUCUGCCUUUCAGCUGGUAUUUAUAUUCUUUUAUUGUUCCAAUUUUCUAACAGUGUGUAUAAUUUGAGAGUUUUUGUAUGUUGUUAAAUAAACUGAAACAUGACUUGUA